GGCCCGGUAGCGGAUGGUCCGUACCUGCUGCAUAUGUUUGGACAUCGCAAACGUCAUCAAUGCAGGAGUUCGCUCGUUCGACUCGAGCUCGGGCCA